rnacentral:tRNA from 1 species
GCCCUUGUCGCUUAAUGGACAAAGCAUUGGCCUCCGGAGCCGAAGAUAGCAGUUCGAUUCUGCUCAAGGGCACAA